AUUGAACGCUGGCGGCAUGCUUUACACAUGCAAGUCGAACGGUAACAGGCCGCAAGGUGCUGACGAGUGGCGAACGGGUGAGUAAUGCAUCGGAACGUGCCCAGUCGUGGGGGAUAACGCAGCGAAAGCUGCGCUAAUACCGCAUACGAUCUAUGGAUGAAAGCGGGGGACCGUAAGGCCUCGCGCGAUUGGAGCGGCCGAUGUCAGAUUAGGUAGUUGGUGAGGUAAAGGCUCACCAAGCCAACGAUCUGUAGCUGGUCUGAGAGGACGACCAGCCACACUGGGACUGAGACACGGCCCAGACUCCUACGGGAGGCAGCAGUGGGGAAUUUUGGACAAUGGGCGCAAGCCUGAUCCAGCAAUGCCGCGUGCAGGAAGAAGGCCUUCGGGUUGUAAACUGCUUUUGUACGGAACGAAACGGUCCGGGUUAAUACCCUGGGCUAAUGACGGUACCGUAAGAAUAAGCACCGGCUAACUACGUGCCAGCCGCCGCUGUAA
rnacentral:rRNA from 1 species